GCUGGCGGUGCGCCUUAUGCAUGCAGUCGAGCGAAGCUUUUAGUAGUUUACUACAGAAAAUGACUGAGCGGCGAACGGGUGAGUAACGCGUGAGCAAUCUACCUUAGUUACAGGGAUAGCCCGAGGAAACUCGGAUUAAUACCUGAUAUUCUUUACAUUUCGCAUGAAAUCAAAAGGAAAGGUCAGCCGAACUAAGAUGAGCUCGCGUUCUAUCAGCUAGUUGGUGAGGUAAUAGCUCACCAAGGCAACGACGGAUAGCUGGUCUGAGAGGACGAUCAGCCACACUGGGACUGAGACACGGCCCAGACUCCUACGGGAGGCUGCAGCAGGGAAUAUUGUGCAAUGAACGAAAGUUUGACACAGCGACACCGCGUGUGGGAUGACGGAUCUAGGUUUGUAAACCACUUUCAGGAGGGAAGAAAAUGACGGUACCUCCACAAGAAGCCCCGGCCAACUACGUGCCAGCAGCCGCGGUAAUACGUAGGGGGCGAGCGUUGUCCGGAUUUAUUGGGCGUAAAGAGCUCGUAGGCGGUUCAACAAGUCGGUCGUAAAAGUUCAGGGCUCAACCCUGAAAUGUCGAUCGAUACUGUUGUGACUAGGAUACG
rnacentral:rRNA from 1 species